rfam:Trichobilharzia regenti genome assembly, scaffold: TRE_scaffold0024031
AUCCAGCUGGAAGACGAGUCCCAAAUAGGACGAAACGCGCGUUAUCCUGGAU